rnacentral:rRNA from 1 species
CACGUAGGGUGCGAGCGUUGUCCGGAAUUAUUGGGCGUAAAGAGCUCGUAGGCGGUGUGUCGCGUCGGCCGUGAAAACCUGGGGCUUAACUCUGGGCUUGCGGUCGAUACGGGCAUCACUGGAGUUCGGCAGGGGAGACUGGAAUUCCUGGUGUAGAGGUGAAAUGCGCAGAUAUCAGGAGGAACACCGGUGGCGAAGGCGGGUCUCUGGGCCGAUACUGACGCUGAGGAGCGAAAGCGUGGGGAGCGAACAGG